GGCGGUAGGCCUAACACAUGCAAGUCGAACGGCAGCACAGUAAGAGCUUGCUCUUAUGGGUGGCGAGUGGCGGACGGGUGAGGAAUACAUCGGAAUCUACCUUUUCGUGGGGGAUAACGUAGGGAAACUUACGCUAAUACCGCAUACGACCUUCGGGUGAAAGCAGGGGACCUUCGGGCCUUGCGCGGAUAGAUGAGCCGAUGUCGGAUUAGCUAGUUGGCGGGGUAAAGGCCCACCAAGGCGACGAUCCGUAGCUGGUCUGAGAGGAUGAUCAGCCACACUGGAACUGAGACACGGUCCAGACUCCUACGGGAGGCAGCAGUGGGGAAUAUUGGACAAUGGGCGCAAGCCUGAUCCAGCCAUACCGCGUGGGUGAAGAAGGCCUUCGGGUUGUAAAGCCCUUUUGUUGGGAAAGAAAAGCAGUCGAUUAAUACUCGGUUGUUCUGACGGUACCCAAAGAAUAAGCACCGGCUAACUUCGUGCCAGCAGCCGCGGUAAUACGAAGGGUGCAAGCGUUACUCGGAAUUACUGGGCGUAAAGCGUGCGUAG
rnacentral:rRNA from 1 species